GUCGAGCGGUAACAGAUCUAGCUUGCUAGAUGCUGACGAGCGGCGGACGGGUGAGUAAUGCAUAGGAAUCUACCCAGUAGUGGGGGAUAACCUGGGGAAACCCAGGCUAAUACCGCAUACGUCCUACGGGAGAAAGGGGGCUUUGGCUCCCGCUAUCGGAUGAGCCUAUGCCGGAUUAGCUGGUUGGUGAGGUAACGGCUCACCAAGGCGACGAUCCGUAGCUGGUCUGAGAGGAUGAUCAGCCACAUCGGGACUGAGACACGGCCCGAACUCCUACGGGAGGCAGCAGUGGGGAAUAUUGGACAAUGGGGGCAACCCUGAUCCAGCCAUGCCGCGUGUGUGAAGAAGGCCCUCGGGUUGUAAAGCACUUUCAGCGAGGAAGAACGCCUAUCGGUUAAUACCCGUUAGGAAAGACAUCACUCGCAGAAGAAGCACCGGCUAACUCCGUGCCAGCAGCCGCGGUAAUACGGAGGGUGCAAGCGUUAAUCGGAAUUACUGGGCGUAAAGCGCGCGUAGGUGGCUUGAUAAGCCGGUUGUGAAAGCCCCGGGCUCAACCUGGGAACGGCAUCCGGAACUAUCAGGCUAGAGUGCAGGAGAGGAAGGUAGAAUUCCCGGUGUAGCGGUGAAAUGCGUAGAGAUCGGGAGGAAUACCAGUGGCGAAGGCGGCCUUCUGGACUGACACUGACACUGAGGUGCGAAAGCGUGGGUAGCAAACAGGAUUAGAUACCCUGGUAGUCCACGCCGUAAACGAUGUCGACCAGCCGUUGGGUGCCUAGCGCACUUUGUGGCGAAGUUAACGCGAUAAGUCGACCGCCUGGGGAGUACGGCCGCAAGGUUAAAACUCAAAUGAAUUGACGGGGGCCCGCACAAGCGGUGGAGCAUGUGGUUUAAUUCGAUGCAACGCGAAGAACCUUACCUACCCUUGACAUCCUGCGAACUUGUGAGAGAUCACUUGGUGCCUUCGGGAGCGCAA
rnacentral:rRNA from 1 species